rnacentral:misc_RNA from 1 species
GAAAGUUGUCAAUAGCUAAUUUUGACAUGCCAUUGCUUAUUGUUGCAUCAAUGAUAUCAUGAAUAAGUAACCUGCUUCUAUCACAUUAUGGUAAAACUAAGUUGACCAGGGGUUAUGUUAUAGAACUCCCUUGUCAGCAAUGUCAAGAGGAAUUGAACAUGUGUUCUAUGCAUUUCAUAGACACUCUGCAAGUUUCUUGUGCCUCUUCUUCUUAUCAUCUCUUUGUGCGUGUAUGUGCACAAAUCUGUCUGUCUCCAUUUAAAGAUGCAGAUAUAUUUUUAUAGCAAUAGUUUCUAACUAGCUGUUGAAUAUGUCCUAAUCAUGAUAGAGGCAGAGAGUUUAGGAAGAAUUUGUUUCGGAAAGAGGUUGACCAUUCAAGUGUGACUACAUAUCCUGAUGAAAUAUUUUAAUUCUUGAUCACAUGUGUGUGUGUGUGUGUGUG